rnacentral:rRNA from 2 species
UUAAAAAAGAACCACGUAAGGAGAGUAACUGUUUCAUACGUUGACGGUAUUUAACCAAGAAAGUCACGGCUAACUACGUGCCAGCAGCCGCGGUAAUACGUAGGUGGCAAGCGUUAUCCGGAUUUAUUGGGCGUAAAGAGAGUGCAGGCGGUUUUCUAAGUCUGAUGUGAAAGCCUUCGGCUUAACCGGAGAAGUGCAUCGGAAACUGGAUAACUUGAGUGCAGAAGAGGGUAGUGGAACUCCAUGUGUAGCGGUGGAAUGCGUAGAUAUAUGGAAGAACACCAGUGGCGAAGGCGGCUACCUGGUCUGCAACUGACGCUGAGACUCGAAAGCAUGGGUAGCGAACAGGAUUAGAUACCCUGGUAGUCCAUGCCGUAAACGAUGAGUGCUAGGUGUUGGAGGGUUUCCGCCCUUCAGUGCCGGAGCUAACGCAUUAAGCACUCCGCCUGGGGAGUACGACCGCAAGGUUGAAACUCAAAGGAAUUGACGGGGGCCCGCACAAGCGGUGGAGCAUGUGGUUUAAUUCGAAGCUACGCGAAGAACCUUACCAGGUCUUGACAUCUUGCGCCAACCCUAGAGAUAGGGCGUUUCCUUCGGGAACGCAAUGACAGGUGGUGCAUGGUCGUCGUCAGCUCGUGUCGUGAGAUGUUGGGUUAAGUCCCGCAACGAGCGCAACCCUUGUUACUAGUUGCCAGCAUUAAGUUGGGCACUCUAGUGAGACUGCCGGUGACAAACCGGAGGAAGGUGGGGACGACGUCAGAUCAUCAUGCCCCUUAUGACCUGGGCUACACACGUGCUACAAUGGACGGUACAACGAGUCGCGAACUCGCGAGGGCAAGCAAAUCUCUUAAAACCGUUCUCAGUUCGGACUGCAGGCUGCAACUCGCCUGCACGAAGUCGGAAUCGCUAGUAAUCGCGGAUCAGCAUGCCGCGGUGAAUACGUUCCCGGGCCUUGUACACACCGCCCGUCA